UCAGUAUAUAUAUGGAAGGUAUUAAUUACGCGAAGAAAAGUAUAGCUAUGAAAUGUUGAUAGACGCAGAGAAAAUGAGAUUGGUGGGUUUGGGGGCAUUUAAUCUUCCCCAUCGGAUCAUCCGCUGAUGAAUAGAGUUUUAGAUUUAGAUAUUAUGGAAGGAGUGUCUCGUCCCGAAGCUUCCUGGCUUUCAGAGGAGAAUUUAAGCAAUUCCGAGAUAUGAUUUUCUCCAGACUGGAACAUCAAGUGUUUAGUUGUAAGCAAUCUGACUUGGUAUUAGUAAACA
rnacentral:lncRNA from 1 species